GACGAACGCUGGCGGCGUGCUUAACACAUGCAAGUCGAACGGAAAGGCCCUGCUUUUGUGGGGUGCUCGAGUGGCGAACGGGUGAGUAACACGUGAGUAACCUGCCCUUGACUUUGGGAUAACUUCAGGAAACUGGGGCUAAUACCGGAUAGGAGCUCCUGCUGCAUGGUGGGGGUUGGAAAGUUUCGGCGGUUGGGGAUGGACUCGCGGCUUAUCAGCUUGUUGGUGGGGUAGUGGCGUACCAAGGCUUUGACGGGUAGCCGGCCUGAGAGGGUGGCCGGCCACCUUGGGACUGAGGGACGGCGCAGACUCCUACGGGAGGCAACAGUGGGAAGUAUUACACAGUGGGCGGGAGCCUGAUGCGGCAGCGCCGCGUGCGGAAUGCCGGCCUUCGGGUUGUGAACCGCUUUCGCCUGUGACGAAGCGUGAGUGACGGUAAUGGAUAAAGAAGCACCGGCUAACUACGUG
rnacentral:rRNA from 1 species